CUUUGUGCUGGUAUGCCUGAUGACAAAAGGACAAUAUUAUAUUGAAUAUAGAAAGAUGUAACAAUAUGUUUCAUCAAUAUUCAUUUUUCAUCCAUCUUUUAAUAUUCAGAUGUUACUUUGUUCCUUGCUGUGAACAUGCAUAGCUCAAGAUUUUCUUUAUGUGUAUGAUGGUUAAUGUUGAGUGUCAACUUGAUUGGAUUGAAGAAUACAAAGUAUUUUUCCUGGGUGUGUCUGUGAGGGUGCUGCCAAAGGAGAUUAAUAUUUGAGUCAGUUGACUGGAAAAGGUAGACUCACCCUCAGUCUGGAUGGACACCAUCUAAUCAGCUGCCAGCACGGCUAGAAUAAAGCAGGCAGAAGAAAGUGGAAUGAGGCUUGACGUGCUGAGUCUUCUGGCUUUUAUCUUUCUCCCGUUCUGGAUGCUUCCUGCCCUUGAACAUCAGACUCCAACUUCUUCAGCUUUUGGAAUCUUGGACUUACACCAGUGAUUUGCCAGGGACUCUAAGGCCUUUGGCCACAGACUGAAGGCUCCACUGUCUGCUUCUGUACUUUUGAGGUUUUGAGACUCAGACUGGAUUCCUUGCUCCUCAGCUUGCAGACAGCCUCUUGUGAGACUUCACCUUGUAAUCAUUUGUGUGGGCAAGAUUCAUAAUUUGCUACCAACCAAUGGAGUAAAGCAAAGAUGAUAAUCACUUCCAUGAUCAUAUUACAUGAGAUUGUAUUUUUCAUCUUGCUAGAAGACUCUCUUUUUUGCUGGCUUUGAAGAAGCAUAAUGUCAUCUUGGGGAACCCAAGAAUCUGAGAGAAGUCUCCAACUAAUCAUCAGCUAGGAAUUGGGGUAACCUCUUCCUGGCAACCAGCAAGAAAAUGAGGCCUCCAACCUUACAUCAAAUAAUUGAAUUGUCAUAACUACCAUGUGAGCUUGGAAGUGAAUCCUGCCCCAGUUCUGCCUUGAGAUGAGACUACAUUACCAACCAACACUUCUAUUACAGCCUCAUGAAGCUUUGAAACAGAAGCGCCAACUAAGUUGUAACCAGACUCCUAAUUAACAGAAGCUGUGUGGUAAUAAAUGCAUGCUAUUUUAUGCAAAUAAUUUUGUGGUAACAUUGUUAUGCAACAAUAAAUAAAUAAUGUAAACAAUUUAAGAGUCUAUUCACCAAUUAUCUUCAAUUAUCUUUUCUACUCUGUUUUAUGCAAAGAAUUGGCUAGUAGAUAUCACAGGCUUUGAGGAUGAUAUGUUAUAUCUGGCAACAACUCAACUCUGCUGUUGUUAUGCAGCAGUCAUAGGCAAUACAUACAUAAAUGAGUGUGGCUGUUUUCAAUAUGAGUUUAUUUAGAAAAGCAGGUGAUAAGCUAUAGCUGGUCUUUGAGCCAUGGCUUGCUAAUUCUAGGUCUAAAACUACCAGAUAAAAAACAGAUUCAGAGAUUAAAUAUAAAAACAAAAGCCAGCUCUAUACUUUCUCUGUUAUUAAUAGAGUAAGCAGGUAGAAUAUCAAUAUCAAGUAAGCAGGAUAUCAAGGCUAUGGAUGACCUGGAGACAAACAACAAAUUUGUCCUAAUAAACAUUUAUAUAAUACUUUAUGCAAUAGCAGAACAUACAUUUUUACCCAUGUCAUAGGAAGAAUUAACCUUAGCAAUGUUAAAACCAUAGACUUUAACAAAUUUAAAAACUAGUACAAGUCAUAUAAAAUAUUUUAUUGGUUCAUAACAAAAUUAAACUAGAUACCAGUAACAGAAAUAUAUGUAAAAAUUCCUAAAUAUUUAGAAAUUUAUGAUGCAUUUCUAAGUGAGAUGAACAAAAACUAUUUUAGGCUACGUGAAAACAAGAAUGCAACUUAUCAAAAUUUUAAAUAUUCAUGUUAGAUGAUAAUUUAUAAUAUUAAAUGCAUUUGUUAGAAAAGAAGAAAUAUCUAAAUCAGUAAACUAAACUUUUGGAAAAUGAAAGUAAGAAGAGCAACUUAUAUCUAGAAUAAGCAGAAAGAACAGAAUAAUGAAUAUUAUAGCAGAAAACAAAAAAAUGGAAAGAGAAAACAACAUAGAAAAUAAUUGAAAGCAAAAGCUCAACGAUAGUUCUGUAGCCAGCCUAAGGAAGAAAAAAGAGGGAGAGGAAGAACACAAAUUGCCAAUAUCAGAAAUGAGAGAAAACCAUCACUACUGAUCCCACAGACACUAGAUGAAUAAUCCAGAAAUUUUGUGAAAUCACUAUAAGCUAAAUAAUUCCCAGAGCUCAAAAAUAAUUCCUGGUGUUAACAAGCCAGCAUGGAGCAGUCUCAUUGAACACUGGAGCUAUCCAUAGUAACACCAGAAAGAGGACUGAAAUAUAUGAAGAUUAAAAGCUAUUUUAGACCUGUCCUAAUAAAGCUUAAAACUGGCCUAAAUGUGAUAAAGCUGAUCUGAAAGUAAUUUAAGUGCCUUUCAUUUAAAAAGUAACAUUUUAUCCAGAAAAUCAUAAUGUAAGAUUAAUGAUAGGCAAUAGUCUUUCAAAAAAUAUGAGAUGCAAAGUAACAGAAGAGAAGGACCCACAAGCAAGUGAAAAAUCAGUCAUAAAAUCAGGCCUAAAAAAGAACUGAAUUCAUGGAAUUGGAAGAUAAAGAUGUCAAAAUAUUUUAAAUAAAUUACCUAAAGAGUCACGUAAACUUAGUGAAAAAAGAAAAAAAAAGCCCUUCUAAGGGGGUAAAAUGCAAUUAUCUGAAAUGAAAAAUUUAUUGGCUAUGCUUAAUGCCAGAUUAAAGAACUCCUAAGAAAAGAUCAGAAAAUGAACAGGGUGCAAUUUUACUCUGCUGCUCAGUUUUCCCAGCACCAUUUGUUGAGGAGACCAUUCUUUCCCCAUCCUAUAUUCUUGGCACUCUUGUGGAAAAGCAGUUGAUUGUAUAUACUUGGGUUUAUUUCUGGGUUCUCUAUUCUGUUCUAUUGGUUUAUAUGGGCCCCAUUUUUAUGUCAGUAGCAUACGGUUUUAAUUACUGUAGCACCAUAAUAUAUCUUUAAAUCAGGAAAUUCCAUGCCUCCAGCUUUGUUCCUCUUUCUCAAGAUAACUGGAUAUUUGGAAUCAUUUGUGUUUCCAUGUAAAUUUUAGAAUUGUUUUCCUAUUUGUGUAGAAAUGUCAUUAUUAUUUUGAUAUGGACUGCAUUGAAUUUGUACAACACUUCGGGUUUGGGGCAUUUUAGCAAUAGUAAACUCUCCAAUCCAUGAACACAGGGUGUCUUUCCAUUUAUUUGUGUCUUUUAAAUUUUCUUUUAUCAAUAAUUUAUAGUUUUUAAGGUAUAAGUCCUUCACUUUCUUGGUUAAGUUUGUUUCAAAGUAUUUUAUUCUUUUUGAUGUGAUACUAAAUAAAAUUAUUUUUUAAUUUCUUUUUGAGAUAGUUUGCUGUUAAUGUAUAGAAAGAAAACUGAUUUUUUAUAUUAAUAUUUUUAACCUGCAACUUGGCAGAACUAGUUUAUUAGUUCUAAAAGGGGUGUGUGUGUGUGUGUGUGUGUGUGUGUUUAGUCCGUAGGAUUUUCUGUUUAGAAGACCAAGUCAUCUGCAAGCAGAGAUAAUUGUACUUAUUCCUUUCCAGUUUUGAUGUCAUUUAUCACUUUUUUUCUAAUUGUUUUGGUUGACUUCCAGCACUAAAUUAAAUAGAGGUGGUAAGAAUGGGCAUCACCAUAUCCAAAAUCACCUCAGAAUGGAUUAAAGAAUUAUACAUAAGACCUAACACUGUAAAGAGGUAUCUGUGUAUUCACAUUAAUUGCACUGUUAUUCACAGUAGCCAAGAUAUGGAAAUAACUUAAAUGUCUGUGGACAGAUGGAUGAUUAAUAAAAAUAUGAUAUAUACAGACAAUAGAAUAUUUUCAGACUUUUAAAUGAAGGAAAGCCUGCCAUUUG
rnacentral:lncRNA from 10 species